rnacentral:rRNA from 1 species
GUAAACGAUGAAUACUAGGUGUUUGGGGAAACCUAAGUGCCGCAGUUAACGCAGUAAGUAUUCCACCUGAGUAUUACGUGCGCAAGCAUAAAACUCAAAGGAAUUGGCGGGACCUCGCACAAGCGGUGGAUCAUGUUGUUUAAUUCGUGGAUACGCGAUGAACCUUACCAGGUCUUGACAUCUCGGGCAAUGCUUAUAGAAAUAUAAGCGGAGGCUACCCCGAAGACAGGUGGUGCAUGGCUGUCGUCAG